rnacentral:rRNA from 1 species
AACGAACGCUGGCGGCAUGCCUAACACAUGCAAGUCGAACGAGACCUUCGGGUCUAGUGGCGCACGGGUGCGUAACGCGUGGGAAUCUGCCCUUCGGUUGGGAAUAACUGAGAGAAAUUUCAGCUAAUACCUUAUAAUGUCUUCGGACCAAAGAUUUAUCGCCGAGGGAUGAGCCCGCGUAGGAUUAGGUAGUUGGUGGGGUAAUGGCCUACCAAGCCGACGAUCCUUAGCUGGUCUGAGAGGAUGAUCAGCCACACUGGGACUGAGACACGGCCCAGACUCCUACGGGAGGCAGCAGUGGGGAAUAUUGGACAGUGGGCGAAAGCCUGAUCCAGCAAUGCCGCGUGAGUGAUGAAGGCCUUAGGGUUGUAAAGCUCUUUUACCCGGGAUGAUAAUGACAGUACCGGGAGAAUAAGCUCCGGCUAACUCCGUG